GGUUAAGCGACUAAGCGUACACGGUGGAUGCCCUGGCAGUCAGAGGCGAUGAAGGACGUGCUAAUCUGCGAAAAGCGUCGGUAAGGUGAUAUGAACCGUUAUAACCGGCGAUGUCCGAAUGGGGAAACCCAGUGCAAUUCGUUGCACUAUCGUUAACUGAAUACAUAGGUUAACGAGGCGAACCGGGGAACUGAAACAUCUAAGUACCCCGAGGAAAAGAAAUCAACCGAGAUUCCCCCAGUAGCGGCGAGCGAACGGGGAGCAGCCCAGAGUCUGAAUCAGCUUGUGUGUUAGUGGAACGGUCUGGAAAGUCCGACGGUACAGGGUGAUAGUCCCGUACACCAAAAUGCACAGGCUGUGAACUCGAAGAGUAGGGCGGGACACGUGGUAUCCUGUCUGAAUAUGGGGGGACCAUCCUCCAAGGCUAAAUACUCCUGACUGACCGAUAGUGAACCAGUACCGUGAGGGAAAGGCGAAAAGAACCCCGGCGAGGGGAGUGAAAAAGAACCUGAAACCGUGUACGUACAAGCAGUGGGAGCACCUUCGGGUGUGACUGCGUACCUUUGUAUAAUGGGUCAGCGACUUAUAUUCUGUAGCAAGGUUAACCGUAUAGGGGAGCCGCAGGGAAACCGAGUCUUAACUGGGCGUUAAGUUGCAGGGUAUAGACCCGAAACCCGGUGAUCUAGCCAUGGGCAGGUUGAAGGUUGGGUAACACUAACUGGAGGACCGAACCGACUAAUGUUGAAAAAUUAGCGGAUGACUUGUGGCUGGGGGUGAAAGGCCAAUCAAACCGGGAGAUAGCUGGUUCUCCCCGAAAGCUAUUUAGGUAGCGCCUCGUGAACUCAUCUUCGGGGGUAGAGCACUGUUUCGGCUAGGGGGUCAUCCCGACUUACCAACCCGAUGCAAACUACGAAUACCGAAGAAUGUUAUCACGGGAGACACACGGCGGGUGCUAACGUCCGUCGUGAAGAGGGAAACAACCCAGACCGCCAGCUAAGGUCCCAAAGUCAUGGUUAAGUGGGAAACGAUGUGGGAAGGCACAGACAGCCAGGAUGUUGGCUUAGAAGCAGCCAUCAUUUAAAGAAAGCGUAAUAGCUCACUGGUCGAGUCGGCCUGCGCGGAAGAUGUAACGGGGCUAAACCAUGCACCGAAGCUGCGGCAGCGACACUAUGUGUUGUUGGGUAGGGGAGCGUUCUGUAAGCCUGCGAAGGUGACCUGUGAGGGUUGCUGGAGGUAUCAGAAGUGCGAAUGCUGACAUAAGUAACGAUAAAGCGGGUGAAAAGCCCGCUCGCCGGAAGACCAAGGGUUCCUGUCCAACGUUAAUCGGGGCAGGGUGAGUCGACCCCUAAGGCGAGGCCGAAAGGCGUAGUCGAUGGGAAACAGGUUAAUAUUCCUGUACUUGGUGUUACUGCGAAGGGGGGACGGAGAAGGCUAUGUUAGCCGGGCGACGGUUGUCCCGGUUUAAGCAUGUAGGCUGGUUAUCCAGGCAAAUCCGGAUAAUCAAGGCUGAGGUGUGAUGACGAGGCACUACGGUGCUGAAGUAACAAAUGCCCUGCUUCCAGGAAAAGCCUCUAAGCAUCAGGUAACAUCAAAUCGUACCCCAAACCGACACAGGUGGUCAGGUAGAGAAUACCAAGGCGCUUGAGAGAACUCGGGUGAAGGAACUAGGCAAAAUGGUGCCGUAACUUCGGGAGAAGGCACGCUGGUGUGUAGGUGAAGCCCCUGCGGGUGGAGCUGAGACCAGUCGAAGAUACCAGCUGGCUGCAACUGUUUAUUAAAAACACAGCACUGUGCAAACACGAAAGUGGACGUAUACGGUGUGACGCCUGCCCGGUGCCGGAAGGUUAAUUGAUGGGGUUAUCCGUAAGGAGAAGCUCUUGAUCGAAGCCCCGGUAAACGGCGGCCGUAACUAUAACGGUCCUAAGGUAGCGAAAUUCCUUGUCGGGUAAGUUCCGACCUGCACGAAUGGCGUAAUGAUGGCCAGGCUGUCUCCACCCGAGACUCAGUGAAAUUGAACUCGCUGUGAAGAUGCAGUGUACCCGCGGCAAGACGGAAAGACCCCGUGAACCUUUACUAUAGCUUGACACUGAACAUUGAGCCUUGAUGUGUAGGAUAGGUGGGAGGCUUUGAAGCGUGGACGCCAGUCUGCGUGGAGCCAACCUUGAAAUACCACCCUUUAAUGUUUGAUGUUCUAACGUUGGCCCCUUACCGGGGUUGCGGACAGUGUCUGGUGGGUAGUUUGACUGGGGCGGUCUCCUCCCAAAGCGUAACGGAGGAGCACGAAGGUUAGCUAAUCCUGGUCGGACAUCAGGAGGUUAGUGCAAUGGCAUAAGCUAGCUUGACUGCGAGCGUGACGGCGCGAGCAGGUGCGAAAGCAGGUCAUAGUGAUCCGGUGGUUCUGAAUGGAAGGGCCAUCGCUCAACGGAUAAAAGGUACUCCGGGGAUAACAGGCUGAUACCGCCCAAGAGUUCAUAUCGACGGCGGUGUUUGGCACCUCGAUGUCGGCUCAUCACAUCCUGGGGCUGAAGUAGGUCCCAAGGGUAUGGCUGUUCGCCAUUUAAAGUGGUACGCGAGCUGGGUUUAGAACGUCGUGAGACAGUUCGGUCCCUAUCUGCCGUGGGCGCUGGAGAAUUGAGGGGGCUGCUCCUAGUACGAGAGGACCGGAGUGGACGCAUCACUGGUGUUCGGGUUGUCAUGCCAAUGGCACUGCCCGGUAGCUAAAUGCGGAAGAGAUAAGUGCUGAAAGCAUCUAAGCACGAAACUUGCCCCGAGAUGAGUUCUCCCUGAGACUUUAAGUCUCCUGAAGGAACGUUAAAGACGAUGACGUUGAUAGGCCGGGUGUGUAAGCGCAGCGAUGCGUUGAGCUAACCGGUACUAAUGAACCGUGAGGCUUAACCUU
rnacentral:rRNA from 1 species